AACGUAUGUGAUGUUGGGCAUGUUGUCUGGGGUCCAUUUCAUAUACUUCUUCCUUCCUUGAAGCUGGAUUGGCAAUGACCGCUUUCAACUAUGAUUGAAGAUCUCAUCUUUCCAAAUUAAAAAAGAAGAGAAAAAAUCCCGAAUUUUCUUUGUUCAUGAGAAUCAAUCAAAGAUUCAGCUUGUGGGUGUUGAGAUAGGCCUUUCAGCUUAGAAAUAUCAUAAACUAAAGUGGAAUUUUGUAGAGCUUGGAUCGUUGAAGCAAUUGAUGCAUAUGUUCCCUUGCAUGACUAAAUCUGGGGGAAAUUGCUCGAUGGGUUUGGUUUUUAGGCGUUGGGGUUUCUACAAAAAUGAAUUUGAUGGUUUUAAGGAUUUUAGCUGUCGAAACAACAAAUACGUAUGUUGUUUGAACAACGGACACACAGUGCAAAAUUGGAAUUGGAAUCUAUGCCGUUAAAUUGUUUUGUAUGUAGCGUGUGGGAUAAAAUCAAGUUAAAGAGGGUCUGAAGUUCCAAUAAUCGAAAUCCUUUUGAAAUAAGGAGUUACAGGAAAAAAAAUUCAAAUCAGAUCAAUUUGUAUUAACCAAAACUUCUUUUCGGCUACAAAUGUCUUUCCCUGUUGAUGCUAGACUAGAUGCAUCAGAGAGGCCUCCAUUUCAGGGAUUUGGCUUUACAGGCCUGAAGAAGAGAGGCCACGGAAGUCGGUCAUGGAUACAGAUUGAUCGGAAUGGGAACUCGCAUAUCCUAGCACUCGAUAAGACCACUCUAAUGAGGCGUUGCAAUCUGCCUGUGAGAGAUCUUUAGCUUUUAGACUCUUUGUUUGUGUAUCCUUCCAUGAUACUGGUCCGGGAGAAGGCGAUUGUCGUCAAUCUUGAACAAAUCAGAUGCAUGAUUACGGCAGAUGAGGUUAUCCUUAUGAGCUCUCUGGACAACUUUGUUGUGCAGUACCAAUCAGAACUGUGCAGGCGCCUUCAGACACAGAAAGAUCAAAAUGACCAUUGGUCUGAUGACUGUCGUUUUAGCAAGUUACAGAACUGGAAAUUGAUGUGUAUCCAGUACUAGACGAGUUAGCUUCGUCAAUCAGCACUCUUAAUCUCGAACGCGCGCGGAAGCAGAAGAGCCAUCUCCUUGCCUUAACUCGUAGAGUUCAAAAGUCAUGUACAUAAACUAUCGUUUGUCAAUCAUCACUGUCCAAUCGAGCUUUUGCAUGGCCCACUGACCUGUAUAUCCAGGUGCUCACCAUUCUAUCUGUCAAAUCAUUCAUAUAUGGUGGACCAUUUGUUGUAAUUAGUCUAUUUUUCAUCAAAUGGUCAGGAUAGUCUGAUUGGUGACAUAAUUCCCACUACAUC